rnacentral:lncRNA from 1 species
CUGCUCCAUCAAGGUUCGCUGCGCACUCUGGAAAGGCUUCUGACAAAACCCAACACCUCUUCAUUGUAAAGGCCAGAAGGAGACUAAGAAUAGAAGGCCCAUCAGCAUGAUAAAGUCUAUGAUGAGCCCAUAGCCAACACCCUGGAGAUGAAUCAUUGCUACUGAGAUCAGAAGCAAUGUAAGAAAGUUUACUCUCUCCACUCCUAUUCAAUAUAGUACUUGAAGUCUUAUCUAGAGUAAUAAUGAAAUGUAGCCUCCCCUCCCCCAGCCUUAAUGGUUCCACUGUUUACACCUGGAUGGAGCUUGCUGCUCAAUCGUUCUGCCACGCCCACUGCUGGAACCUGCCACUUUGCUGUUCGGAGCCAUACACGUGGUCACCCUGCUACUGGACUCCAGGACUAUUUGGCUGGAAUCGGCCUCCCUUCCCCUCCUUCAAAACUGCGUGUUGGACA